rnacentral:misc_RNA from 1 species
UCCGGAUUAGAUACCCUGGUAGUCCACGCUGUAAACGAUGGGUGCUAGGUGUGGGGGGUAGUCCACUCCCUCCGUGCCGCAGCUAACGCAUUAAACACCCCGCCUGGGGAUUACGACCGCAAGGUUAAAACUCAAAGGAAUUGACGGGGACCCGCACAAGCGGUGGAGCAUGUGGUUUAAUUCGAUGCAACGCGAAGAACCUUACCUGCCCUUGACAUACUCGGAACUUUCCAGAGAUGGAUUGGUGCCUUCGGGAACCGGGAUACAGGUGCUGCAUGGCUGUCGUCAGCUCGUGUCGUGAGAUGUUGGGUUAAGUCCCGCAACGAGCGCAACCCUUGUCCCUAGUUGCCAGCAUUUCGGAUGGGGACUCUAGGGAGACUGCCGGUGACAAACCGGAGGA